AUCAUGCCACUGCACUCCAGCCUGAGUGACAGAGCGAGACUCUGUCUCAAAAGAAAUAAUAAUUUUCUAAGUUAUGAUUUUCCAGCAUCUUCCAGGUCAAGUCUUCCUUUCCCUUUUCUGAAGAAUGCUUUUAAAAAGGCUCCACAUAGACUUCUUUUUUUGGUUACUCACCUCUACAAAAAAGACCUGAUAAAGAUGCAGGGGUUUUGUCACUGUCGGUGCACCUGGGUGCUGAUGAAAGCACUUUUCAGAUUUACCUGUAACUGAUUUACCUGUAAAUGUCUCCAAGUCUGUUUCCCAGAAUGAGCUGGCAUCUGUGUAUUGCCAGUUUGUCAGGAUAAGAUCUCUUUUUAAGUUAGCUUGGAUAUUGUAAAUAGGGUGAGACAUAGAAACAGCAAGAUUCCUCCCUGGGCACUGCACCAGAGCCCUUCCUCAAACCUUUGUCUCCGUUCCUCAGCUCUGCUUUGGGUACAGAGGAGACACCACUGCCAGGCUUGCCCGACUCCCUGCCCAAGGCUGUGUGAGCUGCAGUUUCCAAGUGCUGCUGUAUAGAGAGAGAAGCUCCAAUGGGGAGCAGCAGGGACAGGGACCCACUGCAGCACUCAGUCAAACGCAAAGCCCUACUUGGGGUGCUGGCUGCUCUGCUUUCUGAAUUUGGAAAUUAUCUGUCUGGAAGCUCUGAGUUUAUCUUGGGACCUCAAGAGGAGAGGAUCACCCAACUCACAGCAAUCAAACUCCAAAUGGUGCUAUAAACUGAACCACACAUGGACACGUCAGUCUUCCGAGGACCCUUAGAUCAACCCCAGGAGGAGCCCUAGCUGCUGUUCCCCAUUCGACGCCCCUUUCCAGCAGGAAGUAGCCAGAAGACAUCGUCGCCCAAACCUCUAACAGCAGUUAGUGCGGCAUCUCCACAGGGGGGAAUGUUGUAGGAGUUAUUGAUAAAUUAUUUUAGGCAGAUAGAGAGGAAAAGGGGUCCUUAGGAAGUUUUUGUUUUUUAAAGCACGUCUGGAAAAGUUUCUUGUAAAGCUCCAGCUCUUAAAGCCAGGCCAGUUACCCGAUAUCCAAAUGCCAGCCAUUAGAAAGUGGGUCCACCCAAACAUGGCGAUUCCUGUGGACUUCUUGCCCUUUCCCCACAUUCCUGGAUACAUGGACACCCCGAAGUAUCCCCACCUGUGUAGAAGAUCAUGGUGCCCUGCAUUUGCAUAUUAAAAGGCUAGGGUGGGAGAGCCAGCUUUUCCUGCGGGCUACGUGAAUGACAUGCCUAGUCAAACCAAUCCCCUGAGCCUGUGCAAAUCAGACACUGCCUCCUCCAGCCUCUGUAUAUAUACCUAGCUGGUAUCUGUGGCAGGUGGGGUUCCCUCUCUUGGCUUUGGAGCCCCCCUUCCUCUGUCUCUGUACAGGGGAGCUUCUUCCUUUUCCCUUCCCUCUUGCUUCUUCUUGCCUAUUAAACUCUCUCUGCUCCUUAAAAAUAAAAAAAACUAUAUUUGAAACAUUUCUAUAA